GCCUCGGUCUAAUGGCUUAGGACGUUCGUACGGAAUACGAGAGAUCCGGGUUCGACUCCCGGCUGAGGUA
rnacentral:tRNA from 1 species